UUGUUUAUCUGGGGCGGAUACCUUCAUUAAAGUAACGAGGGUAAACAAAGGCAUACUAAAAGUGAACUAUAAAGCUGUGCUUAACUGUGAGAAACACUAUUCAAGCAGAUGUAUAUUCAUAAAUGACUUAUGAAGAAGCAGGUAGUAAUGAACGGGUUUAUUUUAUUAAUAAAUCUAUCAACGGACAAAAGGUACGCCGGGGAUAACAGGCUUAUACGAAUAGAGAGUUCAUAUCGACAUUCGUGUUUGGCACCUCGAUGUUGAAUCAUCACGUCCUUAAGCUGUACAAGGUUUAAAGGGUUAGGGUGUUCACCUAUUAAAGUGGUACGUGAUUUGAGUUUACUACGUUGUGAGACAGUAGAGUUUCUAUCUUCUAACACACUUUUAUAACUACUAAGAGAUAAUAGUACGAAAGGACCCUUAUCUCCAAACCUCUGGUUUAGUUAUUGUGAAUAGCAUUGUAACAAAGCUAAGUUUGUC
rnacentral:rRNA from 12 species